rnacentral:rRNA from 1 species
GAAUUCGCCCUUAGAGUUUGAUCCUGGCUCAGGACGAACGCUGGCGGCGUGCCUAACACAUGCAAGUCGAGCGAUGAAAAAGAAGUAUAUCUCUUCGGAGUGACACCUCUUUGGAUUAGCGGCGGACGGGUGAGUAACACGUGAGCAACCUGCCGUACACAUUGGGAUAGCCUCGGGAAACUGGGAUUAAUACCAAACGAAACAUAUUGAUAGCAUUAUCAAAAUGUCAAAGAUUUAUCGGUGUACGAUGGGCUCGCGUCUGAUUAGCUAGUUGGUGAGAUAAAAGCUCACCAAGGCAAUGAUCAGUAGCCGGCCUGAGAGGGUGAUCGGCCACAUUGGGACUGAGACACGGCCCAAACUCCUACGGGAGGCAGCAGUGGGGAAUAUUGCACAAUGGAGGGAACUCUGAUGCAGCGACGCCGCGUGAGCGAAGAAGGAAUUCGUUUCGUAAAGCUCUGUCCUAUGGGAAGAUAAUGACGGUACCAUAGAAGAAAGCCCCGGCUAACUACGUGCCAGCAGCCGCGGUAAUACGUAGGGGGCGAGCGUUGUCCGGAAUUAUUGGGCGUAGAGGGUUCGUAGGCGGUAAUACAUGUCAGAUGUGAAAUCUUGUGGCUUAACCACAUCAAGCAUCUGAAACUGUAUAACUUGAGUGGAGGAGAGGUAAGUGGAAUUCCUAGUGUAGCGGUGAAAUGCGUAGAUAUUAGGAAGAAUACCAGUAGCGAAGGCGACUUACUGGCCUCUAACUGACGCUGAUGAACCAAAGCGUGGGUAGCAAAAAGGAUUACAUACCCUGGUAAUCCACGC